rfam:Picea glauca, whole genome shotgun sequence.
GGAAACAUGGUCGAGCGAUUCAAGGAAUAGCAUUGGAACCGCUACGUAGGCUUUUGCUUACCGAGGGUUUGAAUCCCUCUUUUUCUG